rnacentral:rRNA from 1 species
UACAGAGGUCCCAAGCGUUGUUCGGAUUCACUGGGCGUAAAGGGUGCGUUGGCGGUCGGGUAAGUCUGAUAUGAAAUCUCACAGCUUAACUGUGAAACUGCAUUGGAUACUAUCCGGCUCGAGGAAUGGAGGGGAGACUGGAAUACUUGGUGUAGCAGUGAAAUGCGUAGAUAUCAAGUGGAACACCAGUGGCGAAGGCGAGUCUCUGGACAUUUCCUGACGCUUGGGCACGAAAGCCAGGGGAGCAAACGGG